rnacentral:snoRNA from 1 species
AGCCAUAAAUCUUUAUGGCUUCAAAGAGGUCAUCCUAUUAUGUGCUACACAAAUAGUUGAAGGUUAAUUAGCAGUAUAACUAUAAAUAGUAAUGCUGCAAGUCUUCUUUAGACAAGA